rnacentral:rRNA from 1 species
GACGAACGCUGGCGGCGUGCUUAACACAUGCAAGUCGAACGGAAAGGCCCUGCUUUUGUGGUGUGCUCGAGUGGCGAACGGGUGAGUAAUACGUGAGUAACCUUCCCUUGACUUUGGGAUAACUUCCGGAAACUGGGGCUAAUACCGGAUAGGAGCUCCUGCUGCAUGGUGGGGGUUUGAAAGUUUCGGCGGUUGGGGAUGGACUGGGGGCUUAUGAUCUUGUUGGUGGGGUAGUGGCUUACGAAGGCUUUGCCGGAUCGGCGGCCUGAGAGGGUAAACAGGGCCAAGGGGACUGAGGUAGGGACCAGAGGGCUACGGGAGGCAGCAGGGGGGAACAUUGCACAAUGGGGCGGAGCCUGAGGAAGCGACGCCGGGGGCGGGAUGAAGGCUUGCGGGGUGUAAACCGCUUUGGCCUGAGACGGAGGGGGGGUGACGGUAAUGGGUAAAGAAGCACCGGCUAACUACGUG